AUUGAACGCUGGCGGCAUGCCUUACACAUGCAUGUCGAACGGCAGCACGGGAGCUUGCUCCUGGUGGCGAGUGGCGAACGGGUGAGUAAUACAUCGGAACGUACCCUGAAGUGGGGGAUAACGUAGCGAAAGUUACGCUAAUACCGCAUAUUCUGUGAGCAGGAAAGAGGGGGAUCGCAAGACCUCUUGCUUUAGGAGCGGCCGAUGUCGGAUUAGCUAGUUGGUGAGGUAAAGGCUCACCAAGGCGACGAUCCGUAGCGGGUCUGAGAGGAUGAUCCGCCACACUGGGACUGAGACACGGCCCAGACUCCUACGGGAGGCAGCAGUGGGGAAUUUUGGACAAUGGGCGCGAAGCCUGAUCCAGCCCAUGCCGCGUGAGUGAA
rnacentral:rRNA from 1 species